rnacentral:misc_RNA from 1 species
UCCGUGUUAACCACGGCAGUCUCCUUAGAGAGCCCAACUGAAUGCUGGCAACUAAGGACAAGGGUUGCGCUCGUUGCGGGACUUAACCCAACAUGUCACCACACGAGCUGACGACAGCCAUGCAGCACCUGUCUCCCUGUCGUAUUGCUACGAAAGCCGUAUCUCUACGGUUGUCAGGGGAUGUCAAACCCAGGUAAGGUUUUUCGCGUUGCUUCGAAUUAAACCACAUGAUCCACCGCUUGUGCGGGCCCCCGUCAAUUCCUUUGAGUUUUAGUCUUGCGACCGUACUUCCCAGGCGGGGUACUUAUCGCGUUAGCUCCGACUCGGCGGGGGUCAAGACCCACCAAAUCUAGUACCCAUCGUUUACAGCGUGGACUAC